CUUGGAAAUGCUAGUCUAAGCGUUUAGGGAGUUACGGUAGGCAAAUCCGCUGUAACAAUUCCGAGGCGUGAUGGGGAAGGCCAUAUAGGCCGAAGUACAUGAUUCCAUGCUUCCAAGAAAAGCAUCUAGAGAGAGAAGUAGUGCCCGUACCGCAAACCGACACAGGUAGAUGAGGAGAGAAUCCUAAGGCCGGCGGAAGAAUUGCAGUUAAGGAACUAGGCAAAUUGACCCCGUAAGUUCGCGAGAAGGGGUGCCUGCGAGAGCAGGCCGCAGAGAAUAGGCCCAAGCAACUGUUUAGCAAAAACACAGGUCUCUGCUAAAGCGUAAGCUGAUGUAUAGGGGCUGACGCCUGCCCGGUGCUGGAAGGUUAAGGGGAACACUUAGCGCAAGCGAAGGUGUGAACUUAAGCCCCAGUAAACGGCGGCCGUAACAAUAACGGUCCUAAGGUAGCGAAAUUCCUUGUCAGGUAAGUUCUGACCCGCACGAAUGGCGUAAUGACUUGGGCACUGUCUCAACUGCAAAUCCGGCGAAGUUGUAGUGCGAGUGAAGAUGCUCGCUACCCGCGAUUGGACGGAAAGACCCCGUAGAGCUUUACUGUAGCUUAGCAUUGAAUUCCGGUAUUGUCUGUACAGGAUAGGUGGGAGACUGGGAAACUAGGGCGUCAGCCUUAGUGGAGUCAACCUUGGGAUACCACCCUGACAGUACUGGGGUUCUAACAGGACGCCAUGAAUCUGGUGACUGGACAUUGUUAGGUGGGCAGUUUGACUGGGGCGGUCGCCUCCUAAAAAGUAACGGAGGCGCCCAAAGGUUCCCUCAGAACGGUCGGAAAUCGUUCGUAGAGUGCAAAGGCAGAAGGGAGCCUGACUGCGAGACAUACAAGUCGAGCAGGGACGAAAGUCGGGCUUAGUGAUCCGGUGGUACCUCGUGGGAGGGCCAUCGCUCAACGGAUAAAAGCUACCUCGGGGAUAACAGGCUGAUCUCCCCCAAGAGUCCACAUCGACGGGGAGGUUUGGCACCUCGAUGUCGGCUCGUCGCAUCCUGGGGCUGUAGUAGGUCCCAAGGGUUGGGCUGUUCGCCCAUUAAAGCGGCACGCGAGCUGGGUUCAGAACGUCGUGAGACAGUUCGGUCCCUAUCCGUCGCGGGCGUAGGAAAUUUGAGAGGAGCUGUCCUUAGUACGAGAGGACCGGGAUGGACUGACCUCUGGUGCACCAGUUGUUCCGCCAGGAGCAUGGCUGGGUAGCUAAGUCGGGAAGGGAUAAACGCUGAAAGCAUCUAAGCGUGAAGCCUCCCUCAAGAUGAGAUUUCCCAUAGCAUAAGCUAGUAAGACCCCUUGAAGAACACAAGGUUGAUAGGUCAGAGGUGUAAGUGCGGUAACGUAUUUAGCUGACUGAUACUAAUAGGUCGAGGGCUUGACC
rnacentral:rRNA from 1 species